rnacentral:ncRNA from 1 species
UUAUCUUCGGGGCAGGGUGAAAAUCCCUACCGGCGGUACAGCCCGCGAGCCGCGCAGAGCGGUUGAUUUGGUGAAAUUCCAAAGCCGACGGUUAUAGUCCGGAUGAAAGAGGAUG